UACGGAGGGUGCAAGCGUUGUUCGGAAUCACUGGGCGUAAAGGGCGUGUAGGCGGUCCGCUAAGUCUGAUGUGAAAGCCCGAGGCUUACCCUCGGAAGUGCAUUGGAGACUGGCGGACUGGAGUCCCGGAGAGGAGGGUGGAAUUCCUGGUGUAGCGGUGAAAUGCGUAGAUAUCAGGAGGAACACCGGUGGCGAAGGCGGGUCUCUGGGCCGAUAUCGACGCUGAGGAGCGAAAGCGUGGGGAGCGAACAGG
rnacentral:rRNA from 1 species